UUUCCCAAACCAAACAUCCCCAUCCCGCCUCACAAAAUAUGUCAGCAGGGUAUUUUCAGGAGCCCGGGGAAGGCAGGAGGGACAAAUAACGCCUUUGCCAUGAUCCCUCCAAGUCUUCCAGCAGAAUUUAGAUCAUUUCAGCCAGGGUUUAGCUUACUUCAAACAGGUGUUUUGCCAGUGAUUAUAGAAUCACAAAGUUUGGAAAAGACCUCCAGGAUAAAGCCCAACGUUUGAUGGAAUGCAGUGUUGCAAGCUUGGACUGAGGCAUUCACUUCUCUGAGGCACAUGGCAUAAAAAGUUGGAGUCACUCAUCCACUGGAUGAAAAAUAAAAGUCACAAUCCUGAGCACGUUUUAAAUCAAGUCUUCCAAAAUUUUGGUUCUUUAAGGAUUUUUAAUCCUUAAAGAUUUUAAGGCUCUUUUGGAUCUUUAAGGAUUUUUUUCCCCUCAGUUAUUGCUGACCCCGUCCCCAAACUACUCCUUGGUCUUUUAGCAUUUAUUUCCUUCUCAGGGGAGCUGCCCUGCAUGAGAAGAAUUAAUCCAGAAAUAUUCUGAAGGAGGCAAACAAUCUUUUGGUGGAGAUAUUCAGAGCAUCAUUCAUCAGAGAGCAACUACUUAUGGAAGACAAGAACAACUUAAAAAUGACAACUGGAAAUUAAAAAGUCAUAAUGUAAAGACUCUCCCUGGCUAAGGGAUAACACAGACAGCACCUGCAGCUCUCUGAGGUGAUCCAAUAGCAUUUACACUCAUUAAUGAAAAAUCAAUCAAACCAAGCUCAUUCAACCCCUGCCCAUCCCACCACUGCUUUAAGGCAAACUUCAGCACUGCAGCCUCCAAACUCUGUGAA